CCUACGGGAGGCAGCAGUGAGGAAUAUUAGUCAAUGGACGAGAGUCUGAACCAGCCAAGUAGCGUGAAGGAUGACUGCCCUAUGGGUUGUAAACUUCUUUUAUAUGGGAAUAAAAUGUUCCACGUGUGGGAUUUUGUAUGUACCAUAUGAAUAAGGAUCGGCUAACUCCGUGCCAGCAGCCGCGGUAAUACGGAGGAUCCGAGCGUUAUCCGGAUUUAUUGGGUUUAAAGGGAGCGUAGGUGGAUUGUUAAGUCAGUUGUGAAAGUUUGCGGCUCAACCGUAAAAUUGCAGUUGACACUGGCAGUCUUGAGUACAGUAGAGGUGGGCGGAAUUCGUGGUGUAGCGGUGAAAUGCUUAGAUAUCACGAAGAACUCCGAUUGCGAAGGCAGUUCACUGGACUGCAACUGACACUGAGGCUCGAAAGUGUGGGUAUCAAACAGGAUUAGAUACCCGAGUAGUC
rnacentral:rRNA from 1 species